CCUCGCUUGAUCGUCGUUGCUCCUUACCCGGUUCACUCACCCUCGUCAUCCGUUCAGUCGGCUGGGCUCAUCCUCCGGUCCUCACCUCUCGGGCUUCCUCCACGGCGCCCUCCCGGCUCCUCCCUGCUCCUCGCCUCACCACCCGUGCCUCGCCCGCUCCUUGGUCCUCCGUGCCCGCGUCCCCUGGCGUCCACCUCUCCUCCCUCACCUCUUCCUUAGCCCCCCCGUGAACCCUCAAUAAAACCUCCUUCACUCUGA